UACGUAGGGUGCAGGCGUUAAUCGGAAUUACUGGGCGUAAAGCGUGCGCAGGCGGUUUGUUAAGAGAGAUGUGAAAGCCCCGGGCUUAACCUGGGAACUGCGUUUCUAACUGGCAAGCUUGAGUGUGGCAGAGGGGGGUGGAAUUCCACGUGUAGCAGUGAAAUGCGUAGAGAUGUGGAGGAACACCGAUGGCGAAGGCAGCCCCCUGGGCUAACACUGACGCUCAUGCACGAAAGCGUGGGGAGCAAACAGG
rnacentral:rRNA from 1 species